GAUGAAGAACGUAGCGAAAUGCGAUAAGUAAUGUGAAUUGCAGAAUUCAGUGAAUCAUCGAAUCUUUGAACGCAACUUGCGCCCUCUGGUAUUCCGGAGGGCAUGCCUGUUUGAGUGUCAUGUAGACUCAAUCCCUCGGGUUUCUGAGGAGGUUGGAUUUGGGUGCUUGCCUUCUGGCUCGCCUUAAAGGACUUAGCAGGAUAGCACUGUAGUCGACGUAAUAAGUCUCGUCGGUGAAAGUGUGAUGUCUGCUUACAGAUUGCCCUUGGCACUUUUGACUCUGACCUCAAAUCAGGUAGGACUACCCGCUGAACUUAAGCAUAUCAAUAAGCGGAGGA
rnacentral:misc_RNA from 1 species